rnacentral:rRNA from 1 species
AGAGUUUGAUCAUGGCUCAGAACGAACGCUGGCGGCAGGCCUAACACAUGCAAGUCGAACGAGAAGCCACCUUCGGGUGGUGGAAAGUGGCAGACGGGUGAGUAACGCGUGGGAACGUGCCUUUCGGUUCGGAAUAACCCAGGGAAACUUGGGCUAAUACCGAAUACGCCCUCCGGGGGAAAGAUUUAUCGCCGAAAGAUCGGCCCGCGUCGGAUUAGCUUGUUGGUGGGGUAAAAGCCUACCAAGGCGACGAUCCGUAGCUGGUCUGAGAGGAUGAUCAGCCACACUGGGACUGAGACACGGCCCAGACUCCUACGGGAGGCAGCAGUGGGGAAUAUUGGACAAUGGGCGCAAGCCUGAUCCAGCCAUGCCGCGUGGGUGAAGAAGGCCCUAGGGUUGUAAAUCCCUUUCAGCGGGGAAGAUAAUGACGGUACCCGCAGAAGAAGCCCCGGCUAACUCCGUGCCAGCAGCCGCGGUAAUACGGAGGGGGCUAGCGUUGUUCGGAAUUACUGGGCGUAAAGCGCGCGUAGGCGGACCUGUAAGUCGGGGGUGAAAUCCCGAGGCUCAACCUCGGAACUGCCUUCGAUACUGCGGGUCUCGAGUCCGGGAGAGGUGAGUGGAAUUCCUAGUGUAGAGGUGAAAUUCGUAGAUAUUAGGAAGAACACCAGUGGCGAAGGCGGCUCACUGGCCCGGUACUGACGCUGAGGCGCGAAAGCGUGGGGAGCAAACAGGAUUAGAUACCCUAGUAGUCC